ensembl:lncRNA
CACAGAAAGCAGUAACUGUAAAAGGAAAAAUAUCGAUCAAUUGGACUACAUUAAAAUUAAGAACUUCAGUUCUUUAAAACCAUUAGAAGAGUAAAAAGAUAAGCCACAGACUGGGAGAAGACAGUUUCAAUACUUAUAACUGACAAAGGACUCUUACCUGGAACAUACAAAGUGCUCCUUCAAAUCAAUAAGAAAAAGGAAGAGAACUCAGCAGGAAAAUGGGCAAAUGUCAGAAUAGAUACUUCACAAGAGAAGAUAUCCAAACAGAAAAUAAACAUGUGAAAAGGCAUUUGACUUCAUUAGUCAUUGGGAAAUGCAGAUUAACGUCAUAAUACAGAUACCACAAGACACUCUCCAAAAUGGCUAAAGUGGAAAAGACAGACAAUUUAGAGCAACCAGAACUCUCAUACUCUGCUGAGCAGAGUAUAAAUUGUUACAAUUACUUUGGAAAGCUGCUUGAUAGUAUCUGUUCAAACUGAAUAUACCCAUCCCUUAUACUCAGCAAUUCCACUCCUAAGUAAACACCCAACAGAAAUGCAGGCAUAUACACAACAGAUGGCACAUACAAGAAUGUCAGCUGCAGUGUAAUUUGUAAUAUUCCCAAACUGCAAACAACUCAAAUGUCCAUCAGCAGUAGAUUGGAUACAAGACCAUGGUGUAUUCAUUCACACAAUGGGAUAACAUGUAGGAGUGAGAAUAAAUAAGCUACAACUUAUACACAAGAAAGGGCGACUCUCACAAACAUAAUAACGAGUAAAAACAAAAUGCCAGUCUCAAAAGACAACCUGUUGUGAUUCCUUUUUUAUAAAGGUUAAAAACAGGCAAAAUUAAUCUGUGGUUUUAGAAGUUAGAGUACUAUUUCCCCCGGGGAGGCGGUUGUGCAUAGAAGUGGGUACAGGCAGGCAUCUGGGCGCUGCUGAUUCUGAUUCUUGACCUGGGUAUGAAUGACACGUGUGUUCAUGCUGUGAAAAUUAAUUGAGCUGUACACUGAUUACUUAUGCACUUUUCAUCCACUACGGUGUCUGCAGCCCCUAGCUAGCACCAAGCACAGUGCAGCUUGUCGAAUGGUUGAUGGAUGGAUUUGUAAGAGUUUCCUUAAUAAAACUGAUGCCUUUGUUCCCCUCAUCCAUGGAGUAGCAUUUCCUCGUGCUUUACCAAAACCUUCCCGUACUGCCAGGCAGUGGUUUCAGGUGAAGCAGCUUGCAGAGUGGGUGGAAUGCAGAAUGCACGGAGGAGCGGGAGUUAAGCCUCUGCAGGCGGCACGUGUGUGCUGGUCCUUCCCUGUGCCGGCACCACUCCGGUAACUGGAUGUGUAUAAGCCAUUGCAUGCUCACGACAGCCAACAAGGAGCCUCACAAAUGAGGUACCCAAGGAGACAGCUGAGCGUUGCAGAGAUUCCACACGUGAGGAGAGAAUGAAACUCUCAGAUGCGAACCCUGACUAUGAGCUCAAGCACAGCACCGGGUCAUUGCCUCCGAACACAGUAGGUACUGGAAAAUCUUUGUGAAAGGAGCACUCCAUACUGGACCUCUCCAUCCUCCUUAUUUUUCUCCUUCUUGCUUCACAGUCAUAAGGACACACUCGAUAGCGGGGUAUCUGUGGUGGGGCUGGAGGCCAAGUUGCUGGGCGGCUGGGGCAGGAGAGCAUUUGAGCUCAGCCGUGCAGUUUUGAAAGGCUCCCUCGAAUAAAGGCUUCUGACACCAUUUCCAGAUGAGCCUGUCCGUGCGGUGACAUCCACUCUAAGGACUGGAAGGAGUCACUCAUCACACAGCCUUAAAUUUGGGUCCCACUCUUUAGAGCGCAUCCUACAUGAACGUUGCUUAUAAACGUGGUCGUCUUUUGAAAAGCAAGAUAAUUAUAUCGCAGUUAUUUAAAUGCGUGUUAAAAUUACUAAUUUUUUCAACAUAAAUGUUAAAAACUGCACUACAAUGUAGUUCUGUUUCGGCAUCUCACUUUUCAACACUCCGGGAAUAUUAAAACAGAAACAACAGCAGUGGCUCGGGCACUUGGCCUUCGGAGAGAGCCUGGCUAGUGCACAAGCGGUUUCUGUGUGCACAGCAGCGUUUUAUCUCAUGCCAACCCGGGGUGUGACCUCUGCAACACCCGGGAGACAAAAGGGAGCCCUGGGGCUCAUUUGAAUCACUGAAACCCGCAGAAAACUGAAAGCCUCAUUUAGUUUCAACUUUUUCCCCUGGCAAGGCUUGUUCCUACGGUGGCUUUUAAACCGAAACGCACGGCGUGAUUUGACUUUCACUUCCUCCCUUCCCAUCUCCAGCCCUGGGGCACUUUCUUCUCCUGAGCUUUCGGUGACAGGCAAACACGAGCAGAGCUUCCGAGACCGAGGCUCACGGGCCGGGUAUGGACCUUCAGUUCAGCUCCUUCCAUCCUCUCAAGAGCCCCGCCAACAGCGAUCACUGCUCUUUUCUGGACAGUGGUGGCAACUGAGUCCCCUCCCAAAAGCAGAAGUGAUUCAGCCCGGGUCUGGGAACUGCUCAACGGCCAUACGUAGCUCUCCUCCCCGGGAUGGGGACAGACACGUCAGACAGUCCACUCAGCGACAUCCACGGCACUGCCUUCAGAUGGCCUCGCUUCUCAGUGCCUUCACCUUCCAUUGCUGGCUGUGUGACCUGAAGUCACCACCUUGAGAUUGUUUGUCUUCAUGGAAAAUGGGGAUUUGAUGUCUGUCUCGUAUCAUGUUGUUGGGAUCAGAGGAGACGUCACGCAUAAACACUGAUUUACUCCAUAAAGAUUCAUCACUUUACUGUUGUAAUUGUCAUCAGCAUCACCAUCAUCAUCACUCCAGCAGGACAGGAAACCAGAAGCCUUACUGCAUCUUCUGACAGGGGAAGAUAAAAGCAGAAAAGACUUCUCAAGGGAAACUCGUCAUAAGGAUUCACUUGAAAAGCAGCUGACGGUGUGAUUAUGCACUAGGAUCCAAUUUAUUACAUGAAUU